UACGUAGGGUGCAAGCGUUAAUCGGAAUUACUGGGCGUAAAGCGUGCGCAGGCGGUUAUGUAAGACAGUUGUGAAAUCCCCGGGCUCAACCUGGGAACUGCAUCUGUGACUGCAUAGCUAGAGUACGGUAGAGGGGGAUGGAAUUCCGCGUGUAGCAGUGAAAUGCGUAGAGAUGCGGAGGAACACCGAUGGCGAAGGCAGCCCCCCUGGGCUGACACUGACGCUCAGGCACGAAAGCGUGGGGAGCAAACAGG
rnacentral:rRNA from 1 species